AGAGUUUGAUCCUGGCUCAGGAUGAACGCUGGCGGCGUGCCUAAUACAUGCAAGUCGAGCGAACGGACGAGAAGCUUGCUUCUCUGAUGUUAGCGGCGGACGGGUGAGUAACACGUGGAUAACCUACCUAUAAGACUGGGAUAACUCCGGGAAACCGGAGCUAAUACCGGAUAAUAUUUUGAACCGCAUGGUUCAAAAGUGAAAGACGGUCUUGCUGUCACUUAUAGAUGGAUCCGCGCUGCAUUAGCUAGUUGGUAAGGUAACGGCUUACCAAGGCAACGAUGCAUAGCCGACCUGAGAGGGUGAUCGGCCACACUGGAACUGAGACACGGUCCAGACUCCUACGGGAGGCAGCAGUAGGGAAUCUUCCGCAAUGGGCGAAAGCCUGACGGAGCAACGCCGCGUGAGUGAUGAAGGUCUUCGGAUCGUAAAACUCUGUUAUUAGGGAAGAACAUAUGUGUAAGUAACUGUGCACAUCUUGACGGUACCUAAUCAGAAAGCCACGGCUAACUACGUGCCAGCAGCCGCGGUAAUACGUAGGUGGCAAGCGUUAUCCGGAAUUAUUGGGCGUAAAGCGCGCGUAGGCGGUUUUUUAAGUCUGAUGUGAAAGCCCACGGCUCAACCGUGGAGGGUCAUUGGAAACUGGAAAACUUGAGUGCAGAAGAGGAAAGUGGAAUUCCAUGUGUAGCGGUGAAAUGCGCAGAGAUAUGGAGGAACACCAGUGGCGAAGGCGACUUUCUGGUCUGUAACUGACGCUGAUGUGCGAAAGCGUGGGGAUCAAACAGGAUUAGAUACCCUGGUAGUCCACGCCGUAAACGAUGAGUGCUAAGUGUUAGGGGGUUUCCGCCCCUUAGUGCUGCAGCUAACGCAUUAAGCACUCCGCCUGGGGAGUACGACCGCAAGGUUGAAACUCAAAGGAAUUGACGGGGACCCGCACAAGCGGUGGAGCAUGUGGUUUAAUUCGAAGCAACGCGAAGAACCUUACCAAAUCUUGACAUCCUUUGACAACUCUAGAGAUAGAGCUUUCCCCUUCGGGGGACAAAGUGACAGGUGGUGCAUGGUUGUCGUCAGCUCGUGUCGUGAGAUGUUGGGUUAAGUCCCGCAACGAGCGCAACCCUUAAGCUUAGUUGCCAUCAUUAAGUUGGGCACUCUAAGUUGACUGCCGGUGACAAACCGGAGGAAGGUGGGGAUGACGUCAAAUCAUCAUGCCCCUUAUGAUUUGGGCUACACACGUGCUACAAUGGACAAUACAAAGGGCAGCGAAACCGCGAGGUCAAGCAAAUCCCAUAAAGUUGUUCUCAGUUCGGAUUGUAGUCUGCAACUCGACUACAUGAAGCUGGAAUCGCUAGUAAUCGUAGAUCAGCAUGCUACGGUGAAUACGUUCCCGGGUCUUGUACACACCGCCCGUCACACCACGAGAGUUUGUAACACCCGAAGCCGGUGGAGUAACCUUUUAGGAGCUAGCCGUCGAAGGUGGGACAAAUGAUUGGGGUGAAGUCGUAACAAGGUAGCCGUAUCGGAAGGUGCGGCUG
rnacentral:rRNA from 1 species